rnacentral:sRNA from 1 species
ACCUUGCGGACAUAUGGACUAUGGUUUUCGAAGGCGUCCAGGAGUGCAGGAAGAAAUAUCGACAAAUGUGCCAUAAGAUUGUCCUGUGAUAAUCGAAUAACAAGCUGCAGAUAAAGGAAGAAGUCGAGAAUUAGCAACAAAGAGAAGAAAAAUUGCGUACAUAGCUCACUCAACUAAUAUGAUAUCACAAAAGUGGAGGUAAACAAGAAAGUCAUAAUCCACAGAUAACGAAAUGCAGGAUUAAACAUGUGCUCUUUCACCAUAUAAUUUGAUGGUUUAGCCUACUAGCCUAGUACCAAAAUAUUGUUAGAACUGAACUCGCCAUUUUACCAUACACAAGAUUGACAUAUAUCUUUCCUUUUUUUUAAAAAAAAAGAUUGACAUAUAUCAACUGCACAAUUGCCUGCUUAUUUGGAUUAAACACUUAAGAUACCAACUACUACAAAAGGGAAAAUAAAAUAUCCCAAAGACAAAUAAUACAUACUCUUAGGCAUGUCAGCGGAUCAAAUUGAGUAACCACCGUUGUCAAACAGAUAUGGGCUUGAUUUACAACCUGCAAUGACAAUGUCAUAAAAGGCUUGAGAGGGCAAUAACUUUAUGGCAUCAAGAACUGCAAGCUGAAAAGAACACUGUCAGUGCAGUACCUUCAAGGCAGCAUCUUUGGUUGCAUGCAGCAAUUUAACUAUAAGAGUAUCGAUACAGUUCUCCAUUGCCUUUCGCUGGAUUACAUGGCCAUGACAAAUGUCAUUUUCAUGGAAGAUGGCAUUUAAAUGAUGCCACACCAAGAACACACUCUUAAAUAACUUCAGAAACACUUACUUGCUUUUCAAGAAUUUCAACCAAUAGAGUAAGUGCAAGCUCUCUGGUGGAUUCCUCUGGAUCAUCAAGCAUCUCAAGUAGAGAAGAGGACAUCUGUUGUAAAUUCUGAAAA